UUUCUCUAGAAUAGUUAAAAUAAUGAGUGGUGUAGAGUAUUCACACACGUUAAUAAAAAGAAAUCUACAUUUAUGUUCAUAAAAAGCAAUCAAAAUAGCUACUUAAAAAUAUAUUAAAUAGGUAUGAAUAUCUAACUGACUACAAUGCAUGAGUUAAUAUUGACUCGACUUAAUAAGAAUUGGUUCAACUCAAAAUUUUAUCCGAGUUUGAUGUAAUUUUUUAGGUCGAACUAUAUAUACUCAUUUUAAGUUCAUGAACAACUGAGUUCAUCUCAUUUGC
rnacentral:lncRNA from 1 species